CGGAGGUGGCAAGCGUUGUUCGGAAUCACUGGGCGUAAAGCGCGCGUAGGCGGUUAAUCAAGUCAGGAGUGAAAUCCUCGGGCUCAACUCGGGAACUGCUCUUGAAACUGGUUGACUAGAGUUCGGCAGAGGAUGGCGGAAUUCCCCGUGUAGAGGUGAAAUUCGUAGAUAUGGGGAGGAACACCAGAGGCGAAGGCGGCCAUCUGGACCGAUACUGACGCUGAGGCGCGAAAGCGUGGGGAGCGAACAGGA
rnacentral:rRNA from 1 species